GAUGUUCAACAUCAUUAACUACAGAGAAGUACAAAUUAAGCUAUAAUGACAUACCAUUCAACAUUUAUUAGACUGGCUAAAAUAAAACAUACCGAUAAAUCCUAUGUGCUGAUGAUUAUAAGGAACAAUUUGGAAAUGUCAAGUGUUUAGCUCCUCUGGAGAACAGUAUGUUGUAUACUUUUAUAUUAUCAGGUAUGUUUCAUUUGGAGCAUUUAUCAUUUUAAUUAUAUUUUCAGGUGAUGAUCUUCCCCAGUAGGUGAGACCAUGUCUGUUUUUGUCCACUACGUCAUUCCAGCUUCUAGUACCAAUGCCUGUGCAUGCCCUGUUUUUCCUGGAUGCUAUAAUAAAGAACUGAGUGGCUAUACCAAUUUAUGUUCCUACCAACAAUGCACCAGAUUCCUGUUUC